rnacentral:rRNA from 1 species
CAUUACCGAURCGAAUCCAAAACAUGGUUAUCAUUAACCUGUGUGAACCGUACACAACAUUUAGGGGUCGGUGAUCGCGCCGUUAAAUGGUCGUGCGUCCGUUCAUUCGGCGUACGGCCAGCCCCGCCUUUUGUCAUUUUUGACGCACUUCAAUGUACCAGUCUGAAAUGUUGCCUGUUUGUUCUCGGACGCAGGUAGGAGAAAUGAAAGAGAGAGACAACUUUUAACGGUGGAUCUCUUGGCUCACGUAUCGAUGAAGAACGCAGCCAGCUGCGAUAAGUAGUGUGAAUUGCAGAAUUCAGUGAAUCAUUGAAUCUUUGAACGCAAAUGGCGCUCUUGGGUUCUCCCAGGAGCAUGUCUGUCUGAGUGUCGGAUAUUAUCUAACGCACUUGAGUGUGCGGAAUUGAGGCGUCACGGCGUGGUUUUCGCCGUGUCCCUUGAAGGAAAGCGUGCUAGACUCGCAUCGUGCGGUUACACUCUGCACCUCCAUGCGAAGGCUAAAAAUAUUUUGUCCUUCGUCGGAGUGCGGGGUCCGCCAGCGCCAGUCGGCCGG